rnacentral:rRNA from 1 species
UUUCCGAUGGGGGUACCUGCGGAGGGAUCAUUACAGAGUUGCAAGACUCCCUAAACCAUUGUGAACCUACCUUCUACCGUUGCUUCGGCGGGCGGGCCCAGCGCCCCCCCCGGCCCCCCGCGGGCGCCCGCCGGAGGAUACCCAAACUCUUGACAUUAGUGGCCUCUCUGAGUAUUCUUUACUGAAUAAGUCAAAACUUUCAACAACGGAUCUCUUGGUUCUGGCAUCGAUGAAGAACGCAGCGAAAUGCGAUAAGUAAUGUGAAUUGCAGAAUUCAGUGAAUCAUCGAAUCUUUGAACGCACAUUGCGCCCGCCAGUAUUCUGGCGGGCAUGCCUGUUCGAGCGUCAUUUCAACCAUCAAGCCCCCGGGCUUGUGUUGGGGACCUGCGGCUGCCCGCAGGCCCUGAAAACCAGUGGCGGGCUCGCUAGUCACACCGAGCGUAGUAGCAUACAUCUCGCUCAGGGCGUGCUGCGGGUUCCGGCCGUUAAACAGCCUCUGCGCUACACCCAAGGUGACCUCGGAUCAGUAGAACCGUCU